rnacentral:rRNA from 1 species
UCGAACGGUAACAGGGAUUAGCUUGCUAAUUUGCUGACGAGUGGCGGACGGGUGAGUAAUGCUUGGGAAUCUGGCUCAUGGAGGGGGAUAACUACGGGAAACUGUAGCUAAUACCGCGUAAUAUCUUCGGAUUAAAGUGUGGGACCGCAAGGCCACAUGCCAUGAGAUGAGCCCAAGUGGGAUUAGGUAGUUGGUGGGGUAAAGGCCUACCAAGCCGACGAUCUCUAGCUGGUCUGAGAGGAUGACCAGCCACACUGGAACUGAGACACGGUCCAGACUCCUACGGGAGGCAGCAGUGGGGAAUAUUGCACAAUGGGGGGAACCCUGAUGCAGCCAUGCCGCGUGAAUGAAGAAGGCCUUCGGGUUGUAAAGUUCUUUCGGUAGCGAGGAAGGUAUCAAAUUUAAUAGAUUUGGUAAUUGACGUUAACUACAGAA